GAGGUCGUUAGCUCAGCCGGUAGAGCAGCGGACUUUUAAUCCGUUGGUCGAAGGUUCGAAUCCUUCACGCCCCACCA
rnacentral:tRNA from 1 species